CGUCACAGUUCCUUCGAUACGCAUAACAACGAUCCCACUGGGGACAAACAAAAGUAGCGUCGUCUCCACCGAACCAGUUGUCAGUGGCAACAUAUAGGAAUCGUGUACAUUUCUUCGUUUCUUCUUUGCUGUUUUCAGUGAGUGUUUUGUUUUCUCUUUGUCCUUGAUCUCGACGAUGUUGUCGUGCUCAUUACCUUACUGAGACGUCUCUUGUGACUGUAGCCAGUGUCACGGAGGAUUUUAUUGGCGUGACAAGGUAGAUCGCCGAGAUCGAGCGUGAAAAACGCUCUGCAUUAGUAGCUCCUGUAGAAUGUUUUCUGGGAUGGCGUAUCCAUGGUCAACAAAACCAAGGUGCAAGACAGCAUGAGAGAUCGUGUAAACGAUGUGAACUCCAAAAGAUAAUCUGGCCAAAUUUAUUGUAACUAGAGAGUGCAAUCGUGCUUGGGGCCCAUCCCAAUGUCAUCACAUGGCUGUGGUGACUAGUGUAUAUCUGGGAGAAUUUUUCCUCGACUGAUACGGAGUGCAGGUGGAUCGAUUAUGAGAAAUGCGAACAUGUGAAGUAAGUAAUUAGUUGUGUCGAACAAAUGUGCAAUAAAAUAAAAUUUACUUUACACUCAAACAUACACUGUAGAUGUACAUGUAACAUCAUGAUAAUGAUUCCAUCUUCAUUGUCCCGCAACUGGUACACCAUACGCACCGAAUACAUGGUGUGUGUGUGCGCGCGCAAGCGCGCGCAUGUACAUGCACACACUCUCAUGCGUGGCUGAGUCGGCCAGAUGAACAGACCAUGCAUUUGCACGAGGUGUCCGUAAUGUCAUUGGAAUGCUGUACUUUAUGACUUUAUUCCAAAAGAGUAUGUCUUACCCCUGACGAAUGGAGUUGUGUCUGUGCUCAGCGGGUAUCGGGCUAUGACGCAACACUGCAAUCAGCGCUGCAAUUAAAAGAGCACUGCAUGGAUUAUUUUGACUAACUUCCUUUGCGUUUACUUGGUUGAGCCCGUGGUUUCAUUUCUGUGUUCUGUCAUGAUUGGCCUCUGGAAAUAAUCAGAGUGGAUGUCAUUUUGCCAUAUAUGUGUGCCUUGUGCGACCGGUUCAAGGCUAGAUGCACUUCAAAUUCGGCGUGCGAUCUCAGCGUCUGGGACCUGAUGAAGUCUUGGUUGGAUGAUUAUUCAAGCCUGACACUACUCGACACACCAAUGUACAUGUCAAUGUAAUUUUUUCAGAGCUGCACUAUUUACGUGUUGAUGCUUACUUCGGUGUUAGCGUGUUUCCCCCGGAUUGUUUCUAUCAUCAUGAUCGUGUGUUCUUGGGCUGAGCGAGCACAUGCACAAGUGUGCAGCUAUAACCCUGUGUAUCUUUGGUUACACUUUGUUCUGCAAUGCAUGUACCUUGUAACAUUAUGUGCUUGCACUGAUUUGUCUGGCCUGCGUAUUUCAAGACUAUUCAGUGCAUUAGACCCAGGUUUGUUUGGUUGCCGGAUGAUCUCUUGUUGCGUCGCUCUCAGGUGUUUUAUUCAUCAAUUUUUGGGCUUGAGAAUUGAGCUGUUGUGUGGUUCCCAAUAUGAAAACAUCAUGCUGGUGCUCUGUGUUUCGAUUAUCGACUGUCGGAGCAGUCAUGCAUUUAUUAGCAGAACGGUCAAUACUGUAGUCUUUUCA